rnacentral:rRNA from 1 species
CCUACGGGAGGCAGCAGUAGGGAAUUUUCGUCAAUGGGCGCAAGCCUGAACGAGCAAUGCCGCGUGAACGAGGAAGGUCUUCGGAUCGUAAAGUUCUGUUGAAGGGGAAAAAGAGCGGAGAGAGGAAAUGGUCUCCGAUUGAUAUUACCCUUCGAGGAAGUCACGGCUAACUAAGUGCCAGCAGCCGCGGUAAUACGUAGGUGGCGAGCGUUAUCCGGAAUGAUUGGGCGUAAAGGGUGCGUAGGGGGCCUGCUAAGUCUGGAGUGAAAGGUACCGGCUCAACCGGUACAGGCUCUGGAAACUGGCGGGCUAGAGAGCAGGAGAGGGCGGUGGAACUCCAUGUGUAGCGGUAAAAUGCGUAGAUAUAUGGAAGAACACCAGUGGCGAAGGCGGCCGCCUGGCCUGUUACUGACGCUGAGGCACGAAAGCGUGGGGAGCAAAUGGGAUUAGAUACCCGGGUAGUC